AGUGGGGAAUCUUAGACAAUGGGCGCAAGCCUGAUCUAGCCAUGCCGCGUGAGUGACGAAGGCCCUAGGGUCGUAAAGCUCUUUCGCCAGGGAUGAUAAUGACAGUACCUGGUAAAGAAACCCCGGCUAACUCCGUGCCAGCAGCCGCGGUAAUACGGAGGGGGUUAGCGUUGUUCGGAAUUACUGGGCGUAAAGCGCGCGUAGGCGGAUUGGAAAGUUGGGGGUGAAAUCCCGGGGCUCAACCCCGGAACUGCCUCCAAAACUUCCAGUCUGGAGUUCGAGAGAGGUGAGUGGAACUCCGAGUGUAGAGGUGAAAUUCGUAGAUAUUCGGAGGAACACCAGUGGCGAAGGCGGCUCACUGGCUCGAUACUGACGCUGAGGUGCGAAAGUGUGGGGAGCAAACAGGAUUAGAUACCCUGGUAGUCCACACCGUAAACGAUGAAUGCCAGUCGUCGACAAGCAUGCUUGUCGGUGACACACCUAACGGAUUAAGCAUUCCGCCUGGGGAGUACGGCCGCAAGG
rnacentral:rRNA from 1 species